UAAAUGUAAUCAUAUAAAGUAAUGUGAAACCAUUAUGGAUUAUUCAGUCUGAAGGUCCUAGUUUUCGUCUCAACCACACUUAAUUCAAUGGCAGAAGAAUGCUUUUGUUGCAGGAGAAGAUGGUCUGGGUAAAAAUGCUCAUUUUCUCAACCAGUGAUGGAAUCCACAGUCCCAUUUCAUUCUUGAAUCUGAGUGAAAAAACUUAUUAUAAGUAGUUCAGAUCGUUGAUAAUUGUACUCUCUCGGCUUUUCUCAUGCUCAAUUCAUCAUACAUGUUAUAGGCAUGGUGGAAUAUUCCAGGUACGUAUUUGGCGCGACACAUUUCACUCAAAAUUAAUGCAUUAUUUAAUUGCAAAUUUAGAGUGACAUUGAUACAUUGAACUACAAAAGCAUACUUAUACGGUGUUAUAACAUAAUCUCCUAUGUUCUGAGUGCAAUGUAGUUCUUGAAAUCUCCUAAUCCAAAACUGAAGUUUUGGAAUUUGUUAAACGAUGCUAUGUUAUUAGGGAGUCAGCACUGAGUCUCUGGGACCAAUUUUCAGUAGCAUCUGUGGUACCAAUGGAGUUUUUUAUACUUAUUUUUUUUUUUUGUUUUAAAGAAAACAGAACAAUUUCUGUUGUUAGUGUUGAAACUCAGUUCCUUCAUUCACAACUGCUAGGCCAAUCCAAAUCCAGAAUGGGGUGCAUACCAAACUCUAUAAAAUGACCAAAAGUAGAGACCUGAUUAUGUGUAGUGCAUCAAUUUAAUUUAGAAAUCGUCAAUAACAAAGUUUCUUGUGGUCCACGGGGUAUUUUGGUGAUGCAUGUGAUGAUGUAAUUGGAAAAUGAUACUCUGCUUUAUUGAUUUCUCUAACAUCUAAAUUGAUGAUACCUUCCCCUGUACAGAAAAUGAAGUGCGUUGGAUUAAACUAAUUUCCUGUGUGUAUAUUUAAUGAUUCACUGAGUAAAAUAUUUUUACCCAAAGGAAUAACUUGACUAGUAUGAAAAAUCCAUUUCAAUGUCAUGGAUUGGUAGAAUUGGCCAAUACAGAAUGGCAAAACUCUUCACAUAAUUAAUGCAGUAUCAUACCAAACCAAGCAAAUGAUGGGCCAUAACAUGAAAAUUCGCAAUAUUCCUUACCAAUCACUAGUUGGUGUGAUUAUGAUGCCUCAAGAAUCAUCGAAUUAGGGAACAGACGUGUAGUUUAAGGCACACUUAGUAGCCAAGUGAAUUGAUAUUGCAGAUAUUUAAAUAUGACCUUCGCAGGUGCAUUAAUAUAAUCAUAUAUAAAUGUCAGUUACCCGACAGAAACAUUAUCCUGCUCAAAAUAAUGUGGUUUCAACCAAAUGGCAUUUCUGAUCUUAAUCAAAUAUUUUAAUGCUGUAUCAACUGUGAAUAUUUAGUUAAUGGAAGAGAUGUCCAAAUUAUCAAACUCAACAAAAGUGAAAUGAGAUUUGAAUGCAAAUAGAAAAUUUCUUUGUUCAACAAAAGCAGGCGAAAAAAAAAUUCCUGGAUACGUAUUUGGGUCGUCCUUAAAUGAUGCCAAGUAACACUGCAUUUGUCUCGGGCCAUUG